GUGUAGCUCAGCAGUACAGUGUUUGCCUAGCAUGCAACAGGCCCUGGGUUCAAUCCCCAGCAC
rnacentral:tRNA from 1 species